rnacentral:rRNA from 1 species
UACGUAGGGAGCAAGCGUUGUCCGGAAUCAUUGGGCGUAAAGCGCGCGUAGGUGGCCUCAUAAGUCCGCUGUGAAAGUCAAAGGCUCAACCUUUGAAAGCCGGUGGAUACUGUGGGGCUAGAGUUCGGCAGGGGAGACUGGAAUUCCUGGUGUAGCGGUGAAAUGCGCAGAUAUCAGGAGGAACACCGGUGGCGAAGGCGGGUCUCUGGGCCGAUACUGACACUGAGGAGCGAAAGCGUGGGGAGCGAACAGG